AUUGAACGCUGGCGGCAGGCCUAACACAUGCAAGUCGAGCGGAUGAAGGGAGCUUGCUCCUGGAUUCAGCGGCGGACGGGUGAGUAAUGCCUAGGAAUCUGCCUGGUAGUGGGGGAUAACGUCCGGAAACGGGCGCUAAUACCGCAUACGUCCUGAGGGAGAAAGUGGGGGAUCUUCGGACCCCACGCUAUCAGAUGAGCCUAGGUCGGAGUAGCUAGUUGGUGGGGUAAAGGCCUACCAAGGCGACGAUCCGUAACUGGUCUGAGAGGAUGAUCAGUCACACUGGAACUGAGACACGGUCCAGACUCCUACGGGAGGCAGCAGUGGGGAAUAUUGGACAAUGGGCGAAAGCCUGAUCCAGCCAUGCCGCGUGUGUGAAGAAGGUCUUCGGAUUGUAAAGCACUUUAAGUUGGGAGGAAGGGCAGUAAGUUAAUACCUUGCUGUUUUGACGUUACCAACAGAAUAAGCACCGGCUAACUUCGUG
rnacentral:rRNA from 1 species